GAGUGGGGGAAAAUUUCUCAGGUAUUGUGCUGUUGUCGGUGCAGCAGGACGUGGAGCACUUGGAGCAGUGUCACACGGCCAGGACGAUCAGAAGCCGCGUGCAGCUGGACCCUUGCGCCCCGAGCCGCCCCCGACCGCCGCCGCCGCCUCCGCCGAGAACCCUAAGAGGUGCGAUGCAGAGCGGCUCCUGAGGUGCGCCGACUUCGAUGGAGCCGAGCAUGGGAGCGCCCGAUGAGCAGCCGAUCGACCUGAGCAAGCCGGCCAGCAGAACGGAGACCGCCGAGACUUCUGCGGGCCAGAUGGCCAAGAACAUGUUCGUGAAGAAGCGGUGGCUGGCGCAGAGUCAGACCAGCAACCGCUUCGUGCCACUCAGCAGGAUCAGGCACUCGGCCCUCAAAAGGCGGGCGCAUGAGAUGAGCUGCUCGUCGUUCACCACAACCACCACCACCACGACUACCACCGAGGAGUCGGCCUCCGUGCUCUCUAGUAGACAGUGGGAGCUCGAGAUGCGCCUCGACAGGGCCAACAGCGUGCCUUACCUAUCCGCGCUGCCGCCGCUGCAGAGGCAAAAGUCGCUUAGUGAGUCCCGGAUUACUCCCAAGGUGCACGCCGUGCAAGACGUGUCGCCGGUGCAAGUGAUACCCAUGCGGUCGCCCCUGAACUCUACAGACGACCGGACGGUGCGGUGGCUAAUCGAGCACCAGCAGGAGCUACAACGCCAGCGGAUGCAGCAGAUGGACAUUCUGCAACAGCGCGCUAGCCCCGAGCCGACCGAGAUCAACCUCAAUUACUACAAUAAGGUGGUGCAGUUCAUGCAGACGCAGGAGGCCGAGAGGCAGAGGCUCGCGCAGUCAGCCGCCACGGGGGUUGCAGCACCGACCACCGUCGAAGAGGACGAUGGAUACGACGAUAAUGAUGACGAGGAGUGUCCCGAACUCGCCGACAUUGAUUAUUCCAGCUCGCCUAGUCAGUCUGGUGACCAUCCUGUCGGGGAUGAAGCGUGCGAGUCAAAGCGGAAAGCAGGUCAACGGCCAAUGACUGGCAAACAUGUGCGUCCAGGCACCGGCGCCAAACCGUCCACGCUGCUGGAGUUGCGCAAGAAGAUCCAGGCGAGACAACAGUUGAAGCAGUCGCCAGCCAUCUAGUAAAUCAUUAUAAAUGACUAUGCUGAUUACCAUUCCCACUAACGACAAACUGAAUUACGCGAAUUAAGUGAUGCAGCAUCCACACGGUAUCGGAGUGCUCAAAUGAGAUUCAUCGACCCGCAAACGUACAAGGCGAUACUGUGCCAAAUGCAAAUAGCCGCAAGUUCUCUCCAGUCGACCAAAAGCAACCGAGUGAGGUUCUAAAAAAAUUUACCUUUACGAAUAUACCUCCAUCUAAAACUCAAGAUUUCACAUUCCAGUUGUGCAGCAAAGACUGAGACCUCGUGAUGUUUUGAAAGUGCAUUUACAACAAUUUUGUAAAUAAAUCAAAGAAAGUGCUAUGUACACAGCAAA